AGCAGUCGCCACGGUAAUACGCAGGUGGCGAGCGUUGUCCGGAAUUAUUGGGCGUAAAGGGAGCGCAGGCGGACAUAUAAGUCCAUCUUAAAAGUGCGGGGCUCAACCCCGUGAGGGGAUGGAAACUGUAUGCCUUGAGUGCAGGAGAGGAAAGCGGAAUUCCCAGUGUAGCGGUGAAAUGCGUAGAUAUUGGGAGGAACACCAGUGGCGAAGGCGGCUUUCUGGACUGUAACUGACGCUGAGGCUCGAAAGCCAGGGGAGCGAACGGGAUUAGAUACCCGAGUAGUCCCUGUCUCUUAUACC
rnacentral:rRNA from 1 species